CACGGCGCGCCGCCGCCGCUAGUCUUCCUUGGCGUGCGUGCCACGCCCAGUCCCCAUCCCGUGGCCCUACAAAGGGCGAAGCUCGUCGUCCUGCGCGCCCUGCUGCUGCUCGUGCCGUCCUCGCGCAGCACCACCCACGGCCACCGCCGCUCGCCGGAGCUCGCCAAGCAGAGCGCCGCCGCGCCUUGAACCGCCGUUUUGCCGCGCCUGACGAUCUCCGGAGAGAGCCGACACCGUCUGGAGCUCCGCGACGUUCAGCUGUAGCUCCGCCACCACUCGCCAUCCUCGUUCCGCCACCGAAUCGCCGUCUACCAAGGUUGCCGGAGCAAGCACCGCCACCGAGCGUCGAUUCCCCGAUUCGCGGCACCUAGAGCACCACCGGAGCAAGAGAAUGUCGCCAGGAAGUCAGUGAGGCCGAGCGUUCGUCCGCCAGCCGCUCCCCAUCCCCGACCUGCUCCGGAGCGCCGCCAUCACAAGGGAGCCGGAGUCAUCGCCCCUUCUCCAAUUUCCGGCCUGAUCCGCGAGCUUCCAACCCCGGUGAGCACCUCCACGAUGUCCCCACGCCCUGUUCUUCCACUUCCCCACCUCGGCCGAGCCCCUUGAAGCUCGAAUCGCCGGCGAUUAGAACGCCCAGAGCAACUAUCCGCCAUGGCUGAAAUCCCCUGGAGCUUAUGCGAUUAGGUCCCUAGAGUUUCUUGUAAUAUUUAGUUGUUUCCCUAUGUCUUGCAAGAUUCACAGAUAACCCCCUAGGAGUUCUCAAUCUUCACAAGCAGAUCCAACCUGAGCUCUUUUACAGAUCUAGACCUAACUUUUGUCCUAUUCGCGAAUACUGUUUACUGUGUCUCGAGAAUAUUCCUUGCUAGCCCCAAUAUUUUUUUGUUAAUCGCGAUCAGAUUCCUAAUCCUUGUUCACCUCCUAGUUUAAACAUUUUAGCUCCGUUUCAAUCGGUUCUUAUUGCGUUAGAUUCGUAUCAACUCAAACUAUGUGUUAGAAGUAUUUUUAAUCAUGUUCUGUGUUUUUCAAAUUUAUUUAAAAUAUUAAGGUGAUAAAUUGCUUAUACAACUGUUUCCUAAUUAAAAGCUAAUUAGAUCUUUACCUCACCUUGAUAAUUAAAUAUUAAUUUGGUUAAUACCUAUUGAACUAGUUUUUCUAAUAAAAUCUAAUUAAGUGCUACACCACGGUUGUUCAUAUAUAAACUCAAUUUUAUUAAUAUUUAUUUAAUUUGUUUUAUAAAUAAAAGCAACGUAGGUUAUAUUUCAGGUUGUUUAUAAUUAUUAAAUGUUAAUUUGACUCGAUUAUCUCAACACUAAUCAUAAAGCUUUGCGUUUAGAUGUUUUCACCUAAGUUAUUUUCUGAAUAAGUGUUUAAUUUGUAUAAUUUAUACAUGCACAUUUACAAGUAAAAUUUGGUGAAGUUUUAUUGCGAUUUUUCAUAUACUAAUAUAAUUUGAGUUAAUUCUAACAUAAGGUGUUUCUUUGAAAUAAUCUUUACACAAUAUGUUAUUGAGUUAAAAUAUAUCUAGCACAUAGUCUUUUGUUGUUUGAUAAUAAUUCAAAUCUCUCGAUAGCUGCCUUUUCAACUUUAGUUCUGUUUUAAGCGUUUGUUGCAUCCUCGCGAUCGUAGAAUUGAUCCCUAUCUUUUAGUUUGCUCUUUUAAAUAUUUUUUUUUGAUUGGUGUAUUGUUCUUAGUUGUGAUUGUUUGUUGAUUGAUGCGAGUAGAAGGAAUGUUGUUCAAGAGCUUUGAAGAGCAAGAGCUAAUUAUAAGCUAAGCAAGUGUCAUGCUGUCAAAGUGAAGGCUGUAAACCCUGAUGGAGUCUGACGAUAGCGAGGUUGAAUAAUCAAACCUGCUAGUUAAUAAAAUCGUUCAGUGUGUAAUCGUUUGAUAUGUACUCUGUUAAGGGAAAGGAGUUUGUUGUUUA